GCAUAUUGGUGAUUAAUUUAAACAACAAUUCCUGUCCCCAUGGGCCUCUCAUAGUGUCCCAUGCCAGAGCAAACUGGCCCCGAACCAUUGCCCAGCCUCUUCUCCAUAGGUUGUUGGCACUGAAGCAGGUUGCACAGUU